rnacentral:tRNA from 2 species
GGUCCUGUGAUGUAGUUGGUUAUCAUGUGGACCUAAUAAGUCCAAUGUCGCCAGUUCGAGCCUGGUCGGGAUCA